CAUAUAAUUCCUCUUUUAACCUUCCACCACCGUCAUUCUUCUUUAAUCCACAAAUCUCAGAAAAAUGCUUCAUCUCUCCUACCACCACCAUCCGCAUCGCUCCCACCACCAUUGCCAUCCCAAUCGCCGCCACCAUAACCAGUACCACCACCUCCGUGACCUCCGCCACUACUUUCAGCAGAUUUGUUACAUUUUAUAGAUCUACAAAAUUUAUGAUACGGUUUGAAAUAGAAUUUUGAAGAUAUGAAAGAUUAAUAUUAAUCGACACGAAGAUUAAAUCAAAAGAGGGCAGUCUGCUGUCAAGAAAUGGUGAAAGUUUUGGGGGUGCGGAAGUUACGGUGAUGAGCCAGUGGAAGCCCUAGCUGUACAGAGACCUGCCGGAGCCGGGAAGGCUACUUCAAUGGAACAACAGACAAAAACUAGUUGCUUCAGGCGCACUUGGUUACAGACCCCAAAUGACGAUACAACUAGCAGAGUGUUUGUAACUCAAGGCUUUAUCUGUUGUUUCCGUAUUGAGUUCGAGUUUUGUUUUUAUUUUUUAGAAUUUGUUUUGUCGGGUAAAAAUGGUUGUCGCAGAGAUUAUCUUUUGCAUCUUAAGAAUCUCUCAUGCCAUUUCUGAUUCAACUACCGUUAGGGAGAUGCAAAGUGUUGAGUUUGUUUUGUCGUGAAUUGCGUACUACCAAAACAAAUAUAGCGUUUGUGUAUUUUUAUUAAUUUAAUUACGCCACAUUGCUUUCAGGUAGCUAAAUUUUUUCUUCUUAAAAUGAUGAAGUUCUUGCUUUGUUUUACUGAAGUAAAGGGCUCUACUUUUUUUCCCAGGGGUUCUGUAACUCACAGAAGGUACUUCUAGGGUUCUGUUUUCGCUGCUUCCACUGAAUGCAGCAUGUGAUUUUGCUCCAUUUUGUUCAAGAUUUUGGGGACAACUUGAGAAAGUUGCUUUCACUUUUGGAGGCAACUUGAGCUUGUUGAUUCCAGAUUCGGAGGCAAACAUGGUGGUUACAGAGUUUUGCUUUGCAACCUAAGCAUCUCCUAUCCUGUUUCGGCAUGAACUACAGUUAACGAGAUGAAAAGCGUUGUAGAAGAUACUUGGAGUUAUCAUCUUGAAGACCUCAUUCAUUUUUCUUAUAGUGUUGAUGAAGCUUUGCAUCAUUUACUCAUAUUUUGACUUAAAAUUUUUAACUCAUCGUUAAACUCGUUUAGACUCGAUGCAUUGAAGUUCUGAAUUUAGUUUAAUGUUAAUUCAUUGCUUCUUCAUCUGGUGUUUGUUCUUCGUCAUCUAGCUGUGUUUUAAAUGUCGAAGUAUUUGUGAUGUAGAAGAAUUGGAUGAUAAUAUAAGUGUUGUAGAAGAAUUAUUUAACAGAUGAUCUUAGAGUUUCUAAA